rnacentral:rRNA from 1 species
GCGACGGAACUGCCUCUACCGCAAGGGCCACCGACAGGGUGCGGGCUCUGGGUAGGAGGUAGACCUGGCAAAGGUGGAGUGGGGGUAGGCGCGGCGGCGCCGUUCUUGGGGGCAAGGGGUCGGGGAGGGGCUGCUCGAGGUCGAGCAGCGGCUGCAGGCGAGGGGCGUGUUGGUGUAGGCGCAGCGGCUGCAGAGGGGCGCGCGACGGCCGGUGGGGGAGCGGCCGCGCGCGGAGGAGGAGGAGCUGCCGGGCCCGUUGUAGGUGAGGCAGAGGAAGGGAGCAGCGGGGAUGACGGGGGAGUGAAGGUGGAUGAAGCUGCAGAAGCGGUGGGAGGGCGGAGAGGAGGGCGCGGGUAGGGAGCGGCAGGAGCCGAAGCCGCGCCCGAGGCGGCGCGCGCGGGAGGAGGUAAAGAUGGGCCUGUAUAGGCAGGUACCGACCCUUGAGCUGGGGAGGCAGUAGCGGCAGCGGGCCCUGAAGAAGUCGGAGCGCCUCGAGCUUUCCCUGGUGCGGCCGUCCGACCAGUAGGUGCAGCCGCUGCGCGACCUCCGGCUCCGGCACGGCCCCCCGAAGCCGCCGCACGACCACCUAGACAAGCGGUUGCCCUCGCACGACGGCCUCGAGGUUUUCCGCCUGUGAACCGCGGUCUAUCCGCGCUACCAUCGCGGCCCUCCCUCCUACUACCACUUGACGCCGCCCCCGACGCACCUCCGCCUCCUCCUCCCCUCUCUGCCGCUCCGUCACUUCCUACGCUGCGACGCCCGCUACCACCGUCGCAAGCCCCUCCCUUACCACCGCCACGACUCGCACCUACUUUCAACCCACCGCUACUGUCGCGGCCACCGCGCCCGUAACCUCCUCCGCCGCCGCACCUUCCGAUCCGACGGCGGCCUCGACCCGGUGAUAUAACUGUACACCUUCGGCGUGUUACCGUUACCACUACGUACUUAUCUACCCCUAAUACGUCACCAAGAGACACGUUCUUACGUCUCACUAAAGACGUCCCACGUCGUACCCAAAAGUCUCUUUCUAAGAAGACGGGCUCUCUCGGUGGUAGGUCUUCUGGCUGCGACCUUGAGACGUCGGCGACUUCUACUUCGCCGGAGCACUGCCACUCCUGCUUCCGCGAAGCCCCGGCGACUGCGGCUGCCGCUUGUCGCGUCCCUGGCGCGUAGGCGCGACGGGCGGCCGCGGCGGCUUCUUCGGCUCCGAGCACGACCCCACGUCGGACCUGCCCAAGUUCCAACACUCGUAGUACCUGAACGCAACGAAGGAAGCAACUGCUCGGUGGAACGAACGAACAAACAAACAGAAAAAUCAAUCUCUUCUCUCCCCCAAAACAAAACCACAAAAACACGAGAAGUUGAGAAGAAAAAUUGGCCUUAUUCGGACAUGUAAACGUUACUUAUCGACAC